AACGAACGCUGGCGGCAUGCCUAACACAUGCAAGUCGAACGAGACCUUCGGGUCUAGUGGCGCACGUGUGCGUAACGCGUGGGAACCUGCCCUUAGGUUCGGAAUAACUCCCCGAAAGGGGUGCUAAUACCGGAUAAUGUCUUCGGACCAAAGAUUUAUCGCCUUUGGAUGGGCCCGCGUUGGAUUAGCUAGUUGGUAGGGUAAAAGCCUACCAAGGCGACGAUCCAUAGCUGGUCUGAGAGGAUGAUCAGCCACACUGGGACUGAGACACGGCCCAGACUCCUACGGGAGGCAGCAGUGGGGAAUAUUGGACAAUGGGCGAAAGCCUGAUACAGCAAUGCCGCGUGAGUGAUGAAGGCCUUAGGGUUGUAAAGCUCUUUUACCCGGGAUGAUAAUGACAGUACCGGGAGAAUAAGCUCCGGCUAACUCCGUG
rnacentral:rRNA from 1 species